CUGAAGGGGAAGGGUCUGUGCCUGGAGGUUGCUCUGGCUGUUUGGUUGAGCAGAAGGUUCUGGACACCAGGACUUCUUCAAAGAGAUGUGAGGACUCCACUGAGGACCUUGAUGGACGCAGCAGGAAGCCACAGCCAACGCUGGACACCAACAUCAACACUUGAUCUUGUCUGGCAAGGUCUAUUGUUCCCAGAGGGCGUUCUUGCUGUUCUGGCCAUUCGAUGGAAUUGGUUGACCCAAAUGCAGACUGCUCUGCGUUGCCCAAGCGUGAUGCCAAGAGAAGAGGUAGGCACCAGAACAGGCUGCUGGACUGGAGACUCCGCCACCAGGUGCCGUUGUCAUUCCUGACCUCCCCAGGUUGUGGCGUUGGACGUGCCCUGAUCCUUGGAAAGGGGAGGCAGUGGAGAGUUGUGACCCUCCCGAGUGCUGCAAAGGCUCUACUGAG
ensembl:lncRNA